rnacentral:misc_RNA from 1 species
GAUGAAGAACGCAGCGAAAUGCGAUAAGUAGUGUGAAUUGCAGAAUUCAGUGAAUCAUCGAAUCUUUGAACGCACAUUGCGCCCUUUGGUAUUCCAAAGGGCAUGCCUGUUCGAGCGUCAUUUGUACCCUCAAGCUUUGCUUGGUGUUGGGCGUCUUGUCUCUAGCUUUGCUGGAGACUCGCCUUAAAGUAAUUGGCAGCCGGCCUACUGGUUUCGGAGCGCAGCACAAGUCACACUCUCUAUCAGCAAAGGUCUAGCAUCCAUUAAGCCUUUUUUUCAACUUUUGACCUCGGAUCAGGUAGGGAUACCCGCUGAACUUAAGCAUAUCAAUAAGCGGAGGA